UACGAAGGGUGCAAGCGUUGUUCGGAAUCAUUGGGCGUAAAGCGCGCGCAGGCGGAUUGAUAAGUCAGGUGUGAAAUCUCGAGGCUCAACCUCGAAACUGCGCCUGAAACUAUUAGUCUAGAGUGUCGGAGGGGGCAGGGGAAUUUCACGUGUAGGGGUAAAAUCCGUAGAGAUGUGAAGGAACACCGGAGGCGAAGGCGCCUGCCUGGACGACUACUGACGCUGAGGCGCGAAAGCGUGGGGAGUAAACAGG
rnacentral:rRNA from 1 species